UCAGCAGAAGGCCCAGAAACAUCAAACCCACUCGAGCUUGACCCAGAUCACAUGAGGCUGAUCCAAUGCCCGGAGAACAUAUGCUGUGAUCUGAUGAUUUAGUAAUCUUUGAAGACAGCAGAGAAAAAAUGUAUGAUUUCAUGUUCUGUUCUGAUCUUACAUCCGUGUUCAUUUUAAAUCAGUUCCAUCAGCAGCAGCAGCACAAAGUCAGAGCUGUUGUGAGGAUGACACGGUUCCUUUCUCAAGUUCUUCACUUCGAUCAAGUUUAUCUGCAGCUGUCCACAGCUUGUAAUUAUGGAGCCAAAGACAACGCAAUUAGGCUGGAGACAACAAAAGAUCCGGAAGCUGUUUAGAAUGGAAUAAUGAACUCAUUCAGAUGACUCCAUUCACUGAUCGAUCUACACUCCCGUCCUCAUCUGUCUGCCCCGGCAGCAGAUACAGAACGGUUAAUGAGAUCAUGAAACAAGCCAAUGAGGUUACUUCAGUUCCGUCCUGUCAUCAAGUAGAAGAUCACAAACUUUCAAACUUGGUGAUGGACAGUUCCGUCCAGGUCCAUCUCUGCUUUGUCUUCAAGCAUAAAAAAACAAACUUUGGCUGAUCAGGAGUUUCAGACGACAACCAAGACGAUAGAAGCUUCGGGUCUCCAAUGGCUUUGUCAUGGUGCCUCUGUCAACCCCGCCCCCUCUGCUCUGCUCCUGACUCCACCAGCUGUGACCACUUCACCCUCAUCAACCCUGCUGCCCUUAAGGAGACCCAGCUCCAUCAUUCGACGCCAGUUCGUUACCCCUAAUGGUGACUACGCCUGGUCUGCCUGCUCAUGCCUAGCUUUUUCUUGCCUUGCCUUGCUCUAAACUUAUGCCUCCUUGUCUCAGGAUUCAUAAAAACGAAGGUCACCUGUGUGGAAGUCAUCAGCUACUUACCUGCUGCCUCGAAGAUCCUCUGAGCCGAUCUGCCGCGGUAUUACCUCCAGCCACGCCACGAGCCAGUCUGGAUCAUCAACCUGCUGAAAACAACCUUGUCAUCUGCCUUGCCAUUAAAACCACUUACCAAGUCACCCACCUGUGUGGUCACUCUGGGUUUCAGCGUCUGGGUCUGUCUCGCCUGAAAACUAAGGUUUGUUGACUUCCAGAGCUUUUCUCUGCCUCAGUCACAUUGGUGACAGUACAGUCAGGGAGGUGUGGCCUCUUUUGAGGCUCCUACGAGAAGUAUUUGUAAAACUAAAUUCCACUUGGCGUACGGGAAAUGCUGUCGUACGCCACACUCUAGUCGUUAAUGAGGUGUGAGUAAUGGCUCCUUACAGAACGUGUGCAAAUGCUGCACACAGAAUGUGCGUGUGAUACGUAGGACGUCCACGCAAACUACGCUAAUUUCCUUAUGCCUAACAGUCAGACUGCAGCUGGAGCGUGCACGUGUCACGUGAACAGCACUAACGGGCUCCCAGCUCAGGUUUGCUAUAAGUGUCUGCAUCUCUACCUUCACCCUGACUUACCCUUACGUGUUGUUUACGUGUUUGCUACAAUCUGUCGCUUGCAAGAUGCCCGCAGAAAUAACGUGCAUGAAGCAUUUUGCUCCACAGACUCAUCAAGUGGUCCAUGAUUUUAAAAUCUGGUUCAGACCACCUACAUUCCCCGUACAGGUUUGCCCAUUUUUCCUCCCCAGACAGCCCGUAUCCACCCGUAAGGGCAGUUAGGACUCAGACAUGAGCCAAGUAGCCCCCUCCUUUACAAAAUGUGGCCCAACGACAGGUGGUGUCAGCUCGCUGUGGAGGUAAAUCUGUAGGAAAGAUCUAUGCUGAGUCACACAUAAGUGGGCGACGGUUCUCUUCAUCUGAGUGACAUUGUCUUGAAACAUUUCAAAGAAAGAAGACUUGACGUCCAGAUGCCAUGAUUCAACUUCUCGUCGAGUGACACAAGUCCCAAACAGGGUCUUAUUUCACACUCUCGAGGCAAACUUUUGGAGAACUUGCAUAAAAGAAAAUACGUUCACACUCUGCAUUUUCGCUGCACAAAGCUCUGGUCAGACAUUUAAACGUCUGCCUCCUGCAGAAUAACAUGUUUACAUACCUCCCCAAAAUAGUUUUGCAACAAUUUUUGCCCCAAACUUUUCUGAGAGGAAACCUUUACCAAUGGACCAAACAUUUCAACCAAUCAAAAAGGCAGAGGGUAAAAAAAAGGCCAAUCAGAGCGCAAUCGAUGAUGACAGGAGAUCAGCCGAUCCACAGAGAGAAUGUCACUCAGAUCAGAAAAAGAAACGAGAACAUGAGAAAAAAUGACAGCACUUAAAUAUUUAAAGACUAUACUUUAAUAGAGGCAUAUUUUUAUGUUUGGAAUUUUAUUUUAUUUCAUAAUCUGUCCUAAUUUUCUUUGGAAUGUUACUGAUUUGCUGCCACCUUUGUUGCAUUCUUUCAUUGUUGUAAUUAAUCUUUAAUUUCAGAUUUUGAAGCAUUGUUGGAGUGUGUGUCUUUUAGCAAUUAUUCCCUUUUGAAAAUGUUCCAUUACAAUUGAUGUACCAUUUUAUAGUUAAAAUAUUUCUUGCCAAAAAUAUAGUUUGAUUGAAUUAUUUAAAGAAGUCUGUUCAAAAUUUAUUUUGGCUCUAGACGAGUGAAGUAUUGUUGGUUUUUAUUUUGUUGAGGAAACUUGAAAUCAUUUUGACAUUAAUCAUUUUCAAUAUGAAGUAUUUUAGUAGUUUGAAUUAUAAAUCUUUAGUUGGGUUUAACUAAAUGUGUUUGGAUUAUUCAAAUUCAUUUCUUUAGAAGCUUUACCUAAUGAGUUUAGAUUGCUCAAAACCUUAUGCCUAUUUGACAUUAGCUAAUUUAUUUUAAUUAGGUGUGAGUGUGAGAGUGAAUGGAUGUGUGAUUGAGGAU